GAUGAACGCUAGCGGGAGGCUUAAUACAUGCAAGUCGAACGGUAACAGUACAAACCUAGUUUGUAGCUGACGAGUGGCGCACGGGUGAGUAACGCGUACGCAAUCUACCUUACAGAGAGGAAUAGCCCUGGGAAACUGGGAAUAAUACCUCAUGGCAUUGCCGAAUCGCAUGAUUCUGGUAAUUAAAGUGUUAGCGCUGUAAGAUGAGCGUGCGUACUAUUAGAUAGUUGGUGAGGUAACGGCUCACCAAGUCUACGAUAGUUAGGGGGCGUGAGAGCGUGGACCCCCACACGGGUACUGAGACACGGACCCGACUCCUACGGGAGGCAGCAGUAAGGAAUAUUGGACAAUGGGCGCAAGCCUGAUCCAGCCAUCCCGCGUGCAGGAAGACGGCCCUAUGGGUUGUAAACUGCUUUUAUAGGCCAAGAAACCCCUCAAUGCGUUGAGGGCUGACGGUAGCCUAAGAAUAAGCACCGGCUAACUCCG
rnacentral:rRNA from 1 species